GAUGAACGCUGGCGGCGUGCCUAAUACAUGCAAGUCGAGCGAACAAACGAGGAGCUUGCUCUUCUCGGGUUAGCGGCGGACGGGUGAGUAACACGUGGAUAACCUGCCUGUAAGCCUGGGAUAACUUCUGGAAACCGUAGCUAAUACCGCAUAACAUAUUGAACCGCAUGAUUCAUUCGUGAAAGACGCAAUUGCUCUCCCUUCUAGAUGGAUCCGCGCCGCUUUAGCUAGUUGGUAGGGUAACGGCUUACCAAGGCGACGAUGCGUAGCCGACCGGAGAGGGGGAUCGGCCACACGGGAACUGAGACACGGUCAAAACUCCUACGGGAGGCAGCAGUAGGGAAUCUUGCGAAUGGGGCGAAAGCCUGACGGAGCAAGGCCGCGUGAGGGAUGAAGGUCUUCGGAUCGUAAAACUCUGUGAUUAGGGAGGAACAAAUGUGUAAGUAACUAUGCACGUCGUGACGGUACCUAAUCAGAAAGCCACGGCUAACUACGUG
rnacentral:rRNA from 1 species